GGCAGCUGCCUAUGAGCGCCGGCCACUGGAGGGCGGCAGAACACACUGAUGAGAAAAUGCUGUCUCUACAAAUCUGUCGCCCCCCACCUCCGUGAUAGCGCCUCACAUAUUCACUUGAGGGCUCAGGCAUGUUGCCUGCACCCUUACCACCCCCCACCCCCAGGGCCAGGGCACUUUUAUUUUCCCUUUGCAGCCACAUGCUGCAGUGUGCUCAUACAGAAGCCGACGCUCUGCUGAGUUUGCUUCCUGCAUGGACAGGAACAGGAAGUCACUUGGUGCACAUGUGACUGUGAGAGAGGAGAGGAGAGGAGCCUUCAGACGUAAGGAGCAGCAGCCCAGCAGGUCUAUCAGAAAGCCAUACCAUACGGGGGAGCACAGACUCAGACUCUGCAUUACAUGCUCCCCCUAGUGACCCGCGUCUGACUGCAGUCCUUGGAACAAAAGAGGAAGCCUAUUACAGAUGUAGUGUGCUUCCUAUUGAUCACUAUAACAACAGCUGCUAACUGAGCACUAGAGGAAGCUUAUGUAAGCCGGAGAAGGUUCAUGCAGCAAAUUGGUGACUUCAAUGACAACUUCAAACAACGAGACUAAUCCUAUGCUCUGACAUGUUCCUGGCGGCAGAAACUUCACACAACGCCCGGCUUCUUGUUGCAGAAUAAAACCACUGCUUCUUGCUACGUGCUUCACUGGAGAUAAUUAUUCAGCUUUGUGUUUUUGAUCCUUUAAGUUGUUUGAAAUUAUUUUUAUUAGCAUUUUGCUGUACUUUCCCUAAGAAGACAUAACACUAAAAGGAAUGUUUCCUAAAUUUACUUAAUCUGAGAACCGUCCUAAAGCCCCCAAAAUAACUACUUCCAAAUCCAAUAAAGAGAUCAACAUCUAGUGUUAUCAAUGUUAAAGAUAUAGGUAUCCGGUCUUUAGGUCUACAAUCAUUAGUUCGACCACUAUUGGUCGACAUGCAUUAGGUCGAUAUGGUCAAUAGGUCAACAUGGCAAUGGUCGACACAUGAAAAGGUCGAGAUGAGUUUUAAAAAAAAUUAUGUUCUUUUACUUUUUCAUACUUGACGAUCAAAGUGGACAACAAUUGGGAAAAGUAACCUGUGCCAAGCGCAGCAGUAGCGAGCCAUGCGAGGGAACACGGUGCAGUAAUUGGGGUUCCCGGUCACUUUACGAAGAAAGUGACACCCAAAAAAUAUAAAAACUCAUGUCGACCUUUUUCCACGUCGACCUUGUCCACGUCGACCUAAUGACCGUGUCAACCUAUUUCAGGUGUUGACCUAGUCACUGUCGACCAAUAGUGGUCAACCUAAUGACUGUCGACCUAGUUACUGUCGACACUAUGAUCCACACCCAAGAUUUACUGAGGGCAGGUUUUUACAUGCUGCUGCUGCCCGGCUGGGUUAUCCCCAAAAUUUCAAAUGGCAAUCAUAUUAAAACUGAUGUAAAUGUGUAUACAGUUUGCUGGUCUAGUACAGUUAAGCGAUAGUACAGGCCGUACUCACUGUUACACCAGUUGAAGAGCAAGAAGUUUCCAACUGUCACUUUUCAAACACAGCCUGUAACAUGACAGUUAGGAACUGACUGGCUGGAACUUUAUCUCUCUUCACUUUAUCACUCUCCAAGGCUUAGUACAUCUGCCCCUUAGCGCUAUAGGAAACUAAUGUUGAAUAUUCAGAUUCACCAACUAAAUCCAUGUCUAAGGUAGCAAAUCUAUAUUUGACCAUAUAUAUUACACAAUAUACAUAAAAAAAAAUCUUGAAUGAACUUCACCAGUCUCCUCUGUCUUAUAUGAAAAAAUAUGAUGCUUAAGGGCAAUU